UUGCAACCACAGGCAGUUCCAGGCUUACUUAGAAGCCCUGAAUUUACCAUCAGCUUCUAGCCAGGGCUACUAGUUCCUGGCUGCUCUGGAGGCCACCCCAUGAUUGCCAUGGGAACCAGCCACUCACAAAGCCUCUGGGGCUCCUGAACCCCGCCCCUGCUCUCUGUGAGCCUUCUCAGAUGCUGCCUUGGGAACUGCCCAGGUGCUGGCACCUCCAGCCAGUCAACUCCUUAGAGUGACCUUGGGCCAGAAGAUGGGGGCAGGGCCUCAGUGGGGACAGAACCACCCCACCUACAGCUGCUUUUAUAAAUGGAGAAAUGCAUUCAAAGUUCCCAAGCAACCAGCCAGUAAGUGAACUACUGAAGCUCCUGUGAGAUGAAGUGGCUUCACUCUUGGCGGCUAGUAUGAGAAAGGCAAGAGCCAAGAACCAGGCACACAUCGCCUGGCUGCCCUUGCAACUAGGAGUGGCCAUGUGGCUACCCAAGGGAUCUGAGAGGAAGCAACGUGGGCCACUUCCAGACCUGGUCUCAAAAAUCUCCCAUGCAUGCCUGCAUGCGCUCAUCCUCUUCUGGCUGGCUGGAAUGACGGUGACCUUGGGCAACUUUGGAAGUGACUAGCGAUCUGGUGAUGAUGCAGAGCCUCUGCCAGUCCAAGACCCUGAAGGACUGUGCAGAAGAGAGUUGCCCCCCGCCAACCUCUGCCCCUGUCCAGAAGUAUUAUCUGGACAAGAAAAUAAAUGUCUGGGGUGAUUGCACACUGUUACAAGAGGUCUGUUAGUUACAAGAAGUAGCCUUCCCUAACUGAUACAACGGGACAGUCCUAUCUAGCUUUCAGCUUCCCUGUGCCACCCUCCACAAGUCAGGACUAGUUCUAAGGCAACUGAAGUAUGUAGGCUGAGGUGGACAGGUCCAGAGGUGCUGGGAUCAGAGCUGUUCUGUUCAUCACAACAGCUGCUUCCUGUGUUCUGGAAGCCUUCCAAGAAGGUGGCUCCAAGACAGAGCAUGAAUUGUUCACACGACAUGUUCCCAGGGAGAUUAUGGAUUUGCUGCAUGGUGUCUGGAGACAAAAUUUUAGAAAUUGGCAAGUGUGAAGAAGAGCUCUCAGGGAUUCAGUGUAGAUGUAAGAAUAUGGCCAAGAGAUCCUCGCACCAAGCCCGAGCUCUCCACCACGGGAAGCUGGGGAGGAGCAAGCAAGAGAGGAUGAGGUGGCAAGAUCUCCACACCAAUUUCUCCCUCAGGUGUGUGGGGCCUUCUUGGAAGCCAAAUGAAGAAAAUCUUUCAAGAGAAGAAAGUGGUCAAACCCUGCCAAGUAAAUGCUCCUCUACCAGGAAAAAAAAUCUAAAUAUUACCCCAUCCCCAUUUUCCAACACUAUAAAUUGUGAGGCCAUCACAAAACUUGGUCCACUCAUCACUGCCGUAUCUCUUCAGUCUCUCCAGGCUUUCUGUCUACCAGAGGAAAUACGACAUCCACGGAAGCCUCUGCCACAUCCAAAGAAGGAAUUAAUCCAUCAGUACUCAUUGAGUGUCUACUAUAGUCACAGCACUCUGCUUGUGGUUGAAAAUAUACAAGAGAAAGAUUAAAAGACCCAGUUCAAUACGUCUGUCUGCGGAAGGGGAAAUGAAGCAUCUGCUUGGUGCCUCCAUUAGGAAGAUGACUUACGACAGGCAGCUGUCAGGCAAGGCGUCUGCAUUCUGACGGAGCCGGCUAGAGCAUGGAGCUGAAAGCCUUCAAGAAGCCAAUGAAAGUCCCAGAACCUUAGCCCAGCCCUUCCCCACCCGCUCCCCCAGAAGCAACGUGAACUUGGGUGCCCACAUACACACAACUGUGAGAAUAAUUUCAGCGUUUUCGAGCUUCCUCACCCCCAAGGUCCAGACCCGGAUGCCACAUCUAUCAGUUCUGAGCUGUGUGAUGUGGGUGGAAUUACUCGCUGUCCUCCUUUGUAAGAUGGGCAUGCACGAACCACACCCAGCUCAUGGGUUUGUUCUGAAGAUGACAUGAGCAGCUGGAGCUGGAGCCCUGGGCACGGCACCUUGCCCAUACUGGGAGCUGGUCAUUAUUAGCUGGUAUUCUCAUGCCCAGGCCAGGAGUUUAAGAUUCCCCAGUCAAAGAGAAUAAUAUAGGUACUUUACAGUUGAUCAGUGCCAAUUUUUCUUUUAAAUCUACCUUACAGGUUUUCUGGAGUAAUGGUUCAGAGUAUGGAUUUACUUUACAAUAUCGAUAAUUUACUUUAAAAUGGUUUGACUUUGAGCAAGGGAACACUGAGUUUGUAUUAGCUGGAGCCUCCAGGGUGGUCAGCUGGUGUUAUAUCACAAAGACGUCAGGUCUUCAGAUCACUGAGGCUUUGAAAAUUAACAUCGUGAGCGUCAGAAGUGAGUUUUACUGGUGAAAUGAGAGGCUUGCUAGACUACAUGAUGAAUAUCGGACAUAGGCUCUCGAUGGCAAAAUCAAAGGUAUUCGAGUGUGGAGGGCUGGGUAAACAUUGUAAAGGCGCUCCCCACGUGUGCAUGAGGCGCUGUAGGAAUCCAGUGAGGCCUGUGGCCAUGGCCACAGGGACGGCACCGAAUGUUGCUGUUGCUUCUGUGAACUUUUCAGACAAGAGGUAGACCCAUCAAGCUCACAGCCGUGUGAACUGUCCUGGGCUUGCUUUCUCAAGGAAUGUUGGUUUAAUAAAAGGCCUGUGUUUGUGGCCGAACUUGG
rnacentral:lncRNA from 1 species